rnacentral:tRNA from 1 species
UCCCUGGUGGCUCAGAGGUUAAAGCAUCUGCAUAGAAUGCAGGAUACCUGGGUUCGAUCCCUGGGUUGGGAA